CCGUGUACCUCCGCCAGCCAGGUGUUGUCUUGAGCGCCAACCUGGUUCGUAUCGAUGUGUAUGGAGGAGAUGCGAUCAGUCAUGCUGUCGGGAUUAUGUAGGCCGGGGAAAUGACAAGAGUGAGCUGGGGUACGUGUCUGAUGUCCGCGCUUGCAGAGAGCAUCUGUGCGCGUCGAUACGCACCGGAUGGGUCAUCCUCCUCCUGUCCCCCCACACCCAUG
rnacentral:lncRNA from 1 species